rnacentral:rRNA from 1 species
GGGGGAACUGAAACAUCUAAGUACCCCGAGGAAAAGAAAUCAACCGAGAUUCCCCCAGUAGCGGCGAGCGAACGGGGAGCAGCCCAGAGCCUGAAUCAGUGUGUGUGUUAGUGGAAGCGUCUGGAAAGGCGCGCGAUACAGGGUGACAGCCCCGUACACAAAAAUGCACAUGCUGUGAGCUCGAUGAGUAGGGCGGGACACGUGGUAUCCUGUCUGAAUAUGGGGGGACCAUCCUCCAAGGCUAAAUACUCCUGACUGACCGAUAGUGAACCAGUACCGUGAGGGAAAGGCGAAAAGAACCCCGGCGAGGGGAGUGAAAAAGAACCUGAAACCGUGUACGUACAAGCAGUGGGAGCACGCUUAGGCGUGUGACUGCGUACCUUUUGUAUAAUGGGUCAGCGACUUAUAUUCUGUAGCAAGGUUAACCGAAUAGGGGAGCCGAAGGGAAACCGAGUCUUAACUGGGCGUUAAGUUGCAGGGUAUAGACCCGAAACCCGGUGAUCUAGCCAUGGGCAGGUUGAAGGUUGGGUAACACUAACUGGAGGACCGAACCGACUAAUGUUGAAAAAUUAGCGGAUGACUUGUGGCUGGGGGUGAAAGGCCAAUCAAACCGGGAGAUAGCUGGUUCUCCCCGAAAGCUAUUUAGGUAGCGCCUCGUGAAUUCAUCUCCGGGGGUAGAGCACUGUUUCGGCAAGGGGGUCAUCCCGA